GUGCCAGCCGCCGCGGUAAUACGUAGGUGGCAAGCGUUAUCCGGAAUUAUUGGGCGUAAAGCGCGCGUAGGCGGUUUUUUAAGUCUGAUGUGAAAGCCCACGGCUCAACCGUGGAGGGUCAUUGGAAACUGGAAAACUUGAGUGCAGAAGAGGAAAGUGGAAUUCCAUGUGUAGCGGUGAAAUGCGCAGAGAUAUGGAGGAACACCAGUGGCGAAGGCGACUUUCUGNGUCUGUAACUGACGCUGAUGUGCGAAAGCGUGGGGAUCAA
rnacentral:rRNA from 1 species